GACGUUACAGUAUGCAUGAGCAUUCAUUCAGGAACGUUAGAAUGCAGAUUUUCUAUGCAAUAAUGUGAUUUGUGAACCAAAGUUUUGAUACUGUAACAUUUAUUACUACAAGUUACUGCCUUCGCCAAACAGGCACCUUUAUGUGUGUAUAUGUAGCGUGGCUGCCCCAUACAUCGACAGAAACUUCGACAUGAUCAUACCGCACUACAUAUGUACAACACUCUAGGUUUAGUUGGUAGAACUAAGAAAAGGAGGAGGAAGGUGAAAAGAGGAAGAGACUAGGAGCGUGAGGUACCAGGAACAAAACGGGUACCGGCAACUUAGAGCCCCAUUGCAGUCCAAAGUUCAAGUGUUGAUGAGAAGCUACAGGAAGGAGCCCAAACGGAGUGAAAUAAUAGGACGCCUCUUGUGACCACCGCAACCUUCAGCUCGCCAUGCUGCUGUCAGCUCCACGCUUGCCGUCGCCCACUUUAGUAGAUCACUGUAUCACAGUUCCCGAUAUUGCACUGCAGUGUUCUCGCCAUGCUACUAGAAGCUUGUCGGACAUUUCUAGCCCAGUUAGCACCCGUAUUUUCAUCCAUCCAUCCAUCCCAUCCUACCGCAGAUAUAUGUCCAUCUUCUAAUUAGGCAGAUAUGAGUUGCUUCUUCCUUCCCUUUGUUUGUUCCUCAUCCUACCCACAUACGCAUACAUGAGUUAGCACUUGCUGAGUUGGGAAGACGCCAUAGAAGGAGAAGAGAUGGAAGAGGAAAGUUUGUUUUUCGUGAGAUAUCAAAUACCUGGAUAGGCUAUAGCUUUUCCUGAAAAGAAUUGUCCAGAAUGGCACAACGUGUCCCAGUACAUUCACACCAGAACACUCGGCUUGCCCACAGGACUAAUGUUACGAGCUGUGUAUGAGCCCUCUGAUCAGUGAUCAGCACUAGAGAAAAAGUGUUAAAGCUCUGACAUUCACCAGCUCUGGUAAAGACUAAAGACACACAAUAUAG
rnacentral:lncRNA from 1 species